UCUGAAGGUAUAAUAGCUGCCCCCCCAUGGGGGCUUCACAGAGAUUUGCGAUUCUGGGCCAUUGGAUCUUGUCAGCAAGUCUCACACGGUGCAUCUCGUCCGUUUGUUCCGAGCUAGUAGCACUUCCAGCCCACGCGUGGGCUUCCUCCCUCCCUAGAUUAAGCCAUGCAACAGCCACAUUUUACCCAUCUGCGCCUGCACGUGGACCCUACCUUCCGUCGGUCCACUCGUCAGUGAGCUGGGGUGGGUUUUGGAGGGUCGCGCGUGGCUACGAGGUGAGACAAAACCAGCAGGCAAACUGCUGCCCCAAUCCAUGUCUUUUCCUCUCUCCCCAAUCCCCUUCUUCUCCACCCGUCCCUCCUCCUCCCACCCUUGCUCCACUGACCGUCGACCGCAUCCCCGGCUUCUCCACCCUUCUCCACCCAGCUGGUUGUGGUCCCGUCAGCCGACUCCUCCGCCAUCGAGCCCUGCUCCUCUGCCACCGAGCCUGCUGCCUGUGGCGCUAGGGUUUCAGGUGGCAAGAGGAAGAACACCGGUCUGGAAUUUUCCGGCCGGCCAAAGGCCACAGUGGGCCCGUACAGCUAUGGAUGGAUGCGACCGAGGCUGGAGCGGCACUGUAGAUGGAGGAUCUCCUCCAUAGCGCCGUUUCAUCGGGAUUUGGCGGCCGGCCAGAGGCCUUGAUGGCCCUGUACAGCAACGGGCAGGCGGCGGCCGAGGCUGGAGGCGACGCUGGAGAAGGAGGAUCUCCUCAACAACUUCGUUUCAUCCGAAUCAAGCUCAACUGCAAAGAAAAGGAGAAGACCCCGACCACUCUAGGAACUUAGCCUGGAAGCUUUCAUCUUGUUCAUGGAAAGGGUUCAUCUUUUGACUUUUUAUUGAUCCGAGAUAAAAGAAUCAAACUAAGCUAAACAUCAUUUAAAAUCGUUUCAUGUGAUUAGGAACUUAACCGGAAGCUUUGUUGAGGCAAAAGGUGAGAGCCCUGAUCUAGGAACAGAUGUUCUCUUACGACAAAACUGAUCAAGCUGAGCAACAUUAUAAUUGAUGCAAAAUUUGGGGUUACUAGGGCAGGAUGGGGAGCUAAGGAAGCAAAUCUGUACACCAAGAUAGGCCUCAAUGGGGGGAGAAGGAGAUGGAUUCUGGCGCGGCCGGCACAAUUGCCAUUUCUUCUCAUUAGCUUUGCUUCCAUGUGUGUUUGUGUUGGCUUGCGUUCUGACGGAUUCAUCACGCCAGGAAGGGAGGCUGAAGAAACACCAGAUGUUGGUCUCAAUGACGUGGUUGUUCUAAACAUGUUCAUUUCCACCUUCUGCAAGUUAAUGUGAAUGAUGUGGGAUUGCUCCUAUGCUUGCUAGGGAGGAAAAGGAUAUGAGGUUUUGCCUACAAACAAGGAAAGGUAUAACUGAUAGGUAUGGCUUAAGUUUCUUGAAUGUUGUCUUGCUAGCCAUUAAAUUUUUGAAUUGCGCACUUGACAUGUUGAACUUGUUUCCCCAGAAUUGGUAUAUGGUUUUGCUGUUUUUCUGGGUGUUCGUGUCCAGAAGUUUCAUGUUGAUUUAUUUUAGGUAAAAAAAUAGGAUUUUGUUCGUAUGAUUCAGGAUAGUUUGAGGGUUCAAUACAUAUGAUAAUGAAUUUUAAAAUGAUACAAUUAGGCUUAAGCUGGGGCAUGAAUAUCAGCUUUACCACUUAAUCUCUGCUAGGGAUAAUUACCACUACUAAAAUCAUUUGAAGGUUCUUUAUUAGGACUUCCUAACCAGUUUGGUGUUAACGUUAUAUGAGUUGGCGCUCACAAACUGAUAGUUUUCCAACUAUAGUUUUUCGAUGUAUUCAUCCUCUUCUUUUUCCAAGUUUGAGGUGUUACUUCCCCAAGAUUCUGUGCCAUUUGAGACUUUCUGAAUGUGUGUGGUUCUAUUAGGAAAUGCCUACAUUGAUGAAUUUUUACAAUUCACAAACAGUUUGGAAUGAUUCAAUUAUUUCGAAGUGUCACUGGACAAGACUUGCAAAUAAGCUGGGGAGAAUUGCUUAGCCUUAGGUUUUAGAUUUUUGGAUGAACCACCCACAGAAUAUAAGUCAGUUGGAAGGAUGAUAAAACAAUAAGGCCUUGUCCCUUGCUAUUACUUAGCGUAGGCCAGCACAUUACUUAACUACGAAAACCAGCGAUUGCAGUAAAUUAAAGCACAAGAUUUUGUCCCUUGCCAAGAACCAACUAAUACUCUCUGUAUAAUGAUUUUUCCCAGUUAAUAUUAUUUUUGAGUAACACUUGCAAAGCUUCCUAGGUUGGGAUAGUGCUACAUAGCCAGGGAAAGUUCUCUUUAAUUCUGUUCUGCGUGUUAGAGGUUAAUUACUUUCUGUAGAUGUAAAGGUUAUUAUGUGCUCUCCUCCUCGUGCACCAUUGUUCUCUCUUCCUGCGUGCCUCGACAGCGUGAUAGACGGUGCAAUCAGUUUACCAAAACUUAUUUGUGCAUCAUUUCCAAUCUGCUUGGAUCAAGAACCUAAAUUGGUUAUUUGAUGAUUUUGUGAUGCUUUCUAAUUGUUCGACCUACAAGCCAGUUGAGCUGGAAGCUCUCGGUGGUGGCUGCAAAUUGUUCUACAUAUAAAUAAAUAUUCGCAUACCAGAAUAUUAUGUUUAUACCUAAAGACAAUGAUUAAUUUAGCAAAGAAGAUGUUUGUUUUUCAUCUGCUCCGCCUACCAUUUAAAUUUCCUUUCUCUGAUUAUAAGCGAUAUGCGUAUAUACUGCUCUAUUAGUCUAUUCUACUGCAAUAUAUUUAAUGGCUGACUACUCUAUUUACUCUUUAUGCCAGUUUUUUUCGUUCAUGUCAAUGGCCUGGCCAUUACUAUAAGGUCCACAUUGUAUUGAUUUUCUCUUCAUGUUUUAUUCAAAGUCGAGAUCGGUGAAUUGUAGCAUUGCACAUAUGUUUACCAAAUCUUGGCAUACCAAAGCUUGAAUUUGCAUGGUAUGCACUCGAACUGUGUUUGGUCCUUUAGGACAAAGCAUAUGAUGGGUAAGGUUAUAUAUAAGAAAUUGAUAGCAUAGUUCAUAGUUCUUUGCUGCUACGGUUGGUUGUUCUUUUUUAUUUAUGGUUGAACAACCUGCAUCUUAACACUACCCUUUAAGGACUUGUAAACUAUAAAAAAUUGUUAAUGUGAUGAAUCAAGCGGUCUUAGCGAAAUGGUUGUAAGCUUGUAGCAGAUUGCAUAUCGGUGUGAUGUGCUUGGUGGUAUUGGAUAGUUUCAUGGAGGAGUAAUGUUUGUAGUUUUUCUACACUUCAGUCAUAGGUAAAUGUUUGUUCCAUGGUUUCAUAUUUGGGCUCUUUGAAUUCUCAUUCAUACAUGUUUUGAUUCUUUAUGUUUCAUUCUAAUUUAUUAAUAAGGUAUUUUAAAAAAUCCAAUUUUGUUGCAACACUUCAUCCCUCAGUUUCGUUCUUCAUUGUCUCGGUCUUGGUUUCAAACAGCUCUUGUCAUUUCCUUUACUCCACUCAACAUCCAGCAGCGACCACCACUAUGGAUGCAUUUAUCUUUGGCCAAAAUUUCCCAUCUUUCUAAUUAAGCUCGUGCUUGCUUGUUAUAUUUCAUGCCAAUCCAUGCGUAUGUUCUAUUGGGUGUUCACUCACACACCAACAAUGCUUUGCGUGUGCUUUUCAGCUUUCACUAAGAGAUGAAUGGUACUAUGCAAGGGAUAGCAGCAGUAGGCCGGGUUGGUCUGGGAUUAAUAGUGUCGACUGAGAUGUUAUUUGGUGAACUUCAUAUAAGCUUAUUUCCUUUUUGUACUAUUCAACAGUAUGAUAAUCCAACAGAAAAUCACUUGUUUAUAUUCUUCUCCUACAAUUCUAGGAACUGCUUUGUGUGCCUAAUAUUAUCAGAUUUCCCUAUGAUCAUUCAUACAUACCAAAAUUUAAAUGGCAGGACUUAUUAGAGAGAAUUUCUUAUGCAUAUCAAAUUGGUUUUGUGUCAUAUGGGCACUUCAGGUUUGAGUGGAACGUACCUCAUCACAUAUAGUACUAAUAUUUCUUUAUAGAGGUUAAUUUUCUUUUCUUUUUGGUUGUCUCUAUGCGGAAGAUUGAACAACUCUAGGUAGAUGACCACGCUCAAGGUUUGGUGACUUGAUCUAGGUAAUAAACAUUUCAAAGCAUGCUAUCUUCCAUUUGAUUUUAUUUGAAAGUGGUGCUUCUGCAAGCCGUACUACAUGAAAGGAAUUUUAGUUUGUAACCCUGAUAUUGUGAUUGUUCACCAUUUAAUACUCAUUUACUUCGAUUGUUACUGGUUGGCCUACACCCCUUGCAGGGAAGAAACUAAGGGGAAAGCUUGAAGCUAAUAUAUCUACGGAAAUUUGUAUGCACCAAUGUACGGUCAGGGUCCUAAAAAAAAUCACAUGUUGGAUACUUUUUCCAGUAUGACUUCCAUGUGCUUUUUAUCCGUUUAUGUUAUGAAAGGAUUUUUUUAUGAUGGCACGAUGGUUUCGAAUCGUGCUUCAUUUCUAAUGUUACGGUACAUAAUGAGGCGGAGGGCUGAAGUGGGGCCAUGGAUGGGGGAGGCAGAGCUCAACAUGAAGGAGCAGGCGGGGGAAGCUACAGAUGAGGAAGUGGUAUGGAGACAGAAGAAUGGCAUCGACAGAGCCGCACGCCGCUUCUGCCGCCAAACCCUAGGGUGACGCCUAUGACCGAGUGCCUUUCCAUGGUAAGUUGCUGGCCGAGCACGAUGUGUUGCUGUUGCUGUUGAUCAAGAGCAAGAGGAGGAGCUAGAGAAGAUAAAUGUUCCCUAUUUCUGUUACAGGUACUUUUGAUUUAUUACCAUGCAAAGGAGAUGUCCUGUGGAUAGAUAUUGCAAUCUGAUGAAAUUACAUUGUAGGAGGAAGAUAAGACAUUCAGGCGAGUUAUUCAAAAUUAUUUUGUUUAGUUGUGGGCCUGCCCACGACCCAUUGGAGAUAGACAUCAAUAGAUUAUAAGCUUAUCGAAUAUGAAA